CUUUGUGUUGUCGCUGGAUAACUUUUCCCUUGGGGAGUGGCUUCUAGGCAAGUGGCUGAAGCUUAGAUGCACCCAAAUCCGAGCUUGGUCCAGCAACAAGGUCUAUGCCCCCUCCCAGCUGCUGGGUGGAGCUUCGAACCUCCUGGGAGGAAGGCCUUGACCACUUCAUCACCAGAAAGCCUGUUGUGGAAGAGCUACCAGCACACCACUGUUCCAGCUCUCCCUUUGUCCCUGCCCCCGAGGCCAGGAGGCCCCGGACCGCGGGCCAGGGAGCCCUGGGAGUCUGGAGGGACUCAUCCCCCGCAUGCCCAGGCUGCCUUGGGCUGGACCCGG